CCUUAAAUGCCUUCCAAGAGAAGGGCAGAAAGAAAAAGCAGUGGCAGCAGCUCCAAGCCAGGCUGGAUCAUGAAGGAGCAGAGAAAGAGGAGGCUUCCUUGCAUGGCGUGCUCUGCUGCAGGGCAAGCAGCAGACACUCUGGAGCCAUGGCAGGAAUGCCCCCAAUGAACUUACACACAGAGUUCACUGAACCCCUGAAGCCCAUCCAUGGACUCCUCACCAUCACCAUCCAUGGGGAGCUCAAUCUUCACAAUGUCCGAUGGAUCUAGCUCUGAUUUCGGGGAACCAGGAACAGAACCAUCCAAAUCCUCCGGUGGCUGCAACAGAAAAGAGGACAACACAGAGGAUGUUUUUUUUUUAAAGAAAUGAAAUCCUCUGCCAGAGCCACCGCCUGGCUGCCAGUCUCCGGGCCCCGCUCCCGGACCCAACACUGCAUCUCCAGAGGCAAGAUCAUCAGGAACUGUUCCAGGAUCACCAGCUCUAGAAUCUGCUCCUUGGUGUGCCUCUCGGGCUUCAGCCACCGAUGGCAAAGUUCCCAGAGCUGGCAGAAGACCUUGCGGGGGCCCUCUGCCUCCCGGUAGCAGAAGUGCCUGAAGCGCUGGCAGCACAUCUCCAUGUUGAGAGCCUCCUCGUCCAGGAUCUCCUCCUUCACUUCCACCGAGGCAUCCGGGAUUUCAUAGACCUCGUGGCCUUCUCUGCCACUCAGGCCUAGCAGGGGUUGGGCUGCAGCUUCUCCCCUGGACCACUGGACUCCCUUGAAACAGGUCCGGGAUCGUGUGGUAUUAUCCUCUGACAGGGACUGAGGCAACUGUGAGUUUCCCCACCCGGAAUACAGGGAUGGUGCUGCCCUCUUCAGGAAUUCCUCCUCCCUGCUGGCUUCCCAGUGAUCCUGAAUCCCCUCCUCUGGUUCUUGCUUAAUCUGAGGCGGAGUAACCCCAGUGAGCACUUCCCCAAUCAGCCCAACUUGGACAAUGCGAAUAUCUUUUUCUCCCGCUGACAAUCUGGCCCCCAAUUUGGGUCCUGACGAGACCCGCUUCUCCAUUUUGACUCCGGGCUUACGGCUCCUGGAUGGGAAGAGAAAUUCAAACAGUUUAAAUUUUAAAAAUGGAAAGCAAUAUAAGUUUGGGACACCCCCCCAAAUAACGGUCUCCCUCAAACACACAAAGCAUCCCUCUCAGUUCCCACUGGGUUUGGAGGGGAAAAGCCAGGAUCUGGCUGAUGUUUGGAGCUAUGUCUCCCUCAAAACAGCCCUUGCAGCCACAAGAUCAUUAAACAGCCAGUUAAGAUAAUUAAAACUGUGCUGCUCUGGGAAACUGCUUUGACACUUCAGUGAGUGUUAUUUCUUUGCAAGAGUCAUAAUUAUUUAAUUGUUUUCUGGGCCCAAUGCAAGGCACUCAGGUUCACAUUAAAGUCCUAAACAGCCUAGGGUCCCAAGUAUCUGAGAAAAUGCCUUUUCCCGUAUCAACUUACCCAUGUAAUUAAGAUCAACAGAAGGGGAUCUCCUGGUGGAUUCUGCAUUAAAUGAAGCACAUAGUGUGGGCAUCUGUGGAAGAGUCUUUUUGAUGGUGGCUCUGUACCUGUGGAAUGACCCUCCCACUGAGAUCUAACUUGCCCCAACUCUGUAUUCCAGGAGUUUCCAAAGUAUGGUCCACAGAGUGGAUGCAUUAAAUAUUCAUUUUAAAAAUUGCAUCUUUUAUUUCUUGUAUUGUAUUGCAAUUUGAAUUCUGCCAAAUUGUAAUACUUUUCUUACAUUGUAUUAUUGGCAAAGAACAAAAGAGAAAGGAGGUGUGCGAGCUAACGGUGAAGCUAAUGGCAGAAGGGCUGGCAAUGGAGAAAGGAAGGGCCACUGCUCAGCAGUAGAACAGCUGCUUUGCAUGCAGAAAGUUUCAGGCUCAGUCCCUGGCAUCUCCAGGUAAGAAAGGAUAUGUCCCCGGUACAAAACUAUGGAGAGCCACCUCCAGUAGUAUAGUCAAUACUGAGCUGCAUGGACCAACCACUUGCUUUGGUAUAAGGCAGCUUCCUGUGGUCUAAAGCAAGGGUUCCCAAACUGUGGUCUAGGACCAUGGGCGGUUCACAAGCUCUGUGCACGUGGUCCACAGCAUGCCUGUGAGAUUGGUGGGAGCAGCAGCUGUGAACAGCAUGCACAGUUCUUUUUAAUGCGUUGUAAAGCCUUAUUUAUUUAUUAAUUUUUUAUCCCACCCUUCCUCCCAGAAAGAGCCUUGAAUGCUGAAUCUGACCUAAGACUCCAGCUGACAAAUAUUACACUAAACAUUGAACUUUAUUUAAGACAACAGGCACAUCCACCUCAUUACAUAGCCAUAUCGAAUUUUAAUAUAUAUAUAUUAAUUUAUUAUCUGCCCUUCACCCAAGGGGUCACAGGGCAGGUUACAACAGUUUAAAAUUCAAUAUUUAGAGCAAUUAAAACAAAUUACAAUCACAAGAAUAGGGCGAGUCCUGAAAACAUGCACCUUAGGUGUGAAAGGCCAGGGCAAAGAGGUGCAUCUUCAGCAUCUAUUGAAAACUGUAAGGUGAAGGUGCCAGACGCACCUCUGUGGGGAGGGAAUUCCAUAACUUGGGGCUGCCACAGAGAAGGCCCUUUUCCAGGACACCAUCCCCCAAACUGCUAAGGGCGGCGGAAUUACCAAGAAGGCC